rnacentral:rRNA from 1 species
UACGAAGGGUGCAAGCGUUACUCGGAAUUACUGGGCGUAAGGCGUGCGUAGGUGGUGAGUUAAGUCUGUCGUGAAAGCCCCGGGCUCAACCUGGGAAUGGCGAUGGAUACUGGCUCGCUAGAGUGCGGUAGAGGAGAGUGGAAUUCCCGGUGUAGCAGUGAAAUGCGUAGAGAUCGGGAGGAACACCAGUGGCGAAGGCGGCUCACUGGCCCGAUACUGACGCUGAGGCACGAAAGCGUGGGGAGCAAACAGG